UUAAUACUCCCUCCGUUCAGAAAUAUUUAUCCUAAAAAUGCAUAUAAUUGAUGUAUCUAUAACUAAAAUAAGUCUAGAUUCAUCCAUUUCUAGAACAAGUAUUUCUGGAUGAAGGAAGUAUAAU
rfam:Hordeum vulgare subsp. vulgare, WGS project CAJW01000000 data, contig: morex_contig_97620